UAACCCGCGCGAGCCAGCCCGAGGCGCUGAAACAUCGAUCCCUCCCCUCGAUCCCUCUCCUCCCGCCCCAAGCCCCCAACCCUAACCUACCCGCGGGCCGCAGCGGUCGGCCCUCUUCCUCUCCUCCAAUCCGGCCUGGCGUCGGGCGCCUGACCCUCUCCGGCUCUCCCUUAAGGCCCCUCCGGCCUCUGCCUGACCGCCUCCCGACGACCCGGCCUCCCCGGGUGGCCGGACCGGCUCGGGAUCCCUUUCACCGGACCCCCGGCCGACCGGCCACCCCUGCUGCCGCUGGCCUGGCGGUUGGCGCCUUCCACGGCUCCACCAGACGACCACCACACACCAUUCUACCUCCACCGCUCCAGUACUACGCUGCUCCAAGUCCAACAAGAUGAAAAAAGGAUGUUAGCCUAUUUAAAUUGUGGGACAAAUCUUCAAAGGCAAGGAAAAUAACUUUUACAUCCACACAAAGACCUCUUUCAAUCAAGUGAAGGAUGAAGAUGGCAUCAAUCUCUUCCAAAAAGGCGACCGCAGAGUUAUAUUGUAAGAAGGAUAUCAUCACUUUGUCAAUCAAAAGGUCUAUUUUGCGGGGUGUGACUCUGUCUUCGCCUGUGCCGGUCCAUAAAACCAUUUUUUCCCGAAGUGUAAGCGCGUUUUAUAAGUUGGUGUUAUAUAAGGCCUGCUAGAGAUGCUCUAAUGUUGGAUGAUCCCGUCCGAGUGGCCACCAUUGCCACCGGCUAAGAAGAUCGAUCAUCAUAACUGAUCCUCCUCUUUUUUCCCCUUUUCCGGAUUAGCAUAUGCUCCGUGCUUGCCUACGCAGGCCAUGAGCCAAUGUUCAUCUCCUAUGUUCCGGUCGACGCUGGCCUCUUGCUUACUUAAUUGCCCACAAUAAUCUACUCCACAUGCAUCAGUGCGCCAAAAAGCAGGGGGGGGGGGGGAUGAAAGGACUAUAAGGCACGAUUUGAACUACUGAGAGAAGCUAGCUGACGUGUGGUCUGUCCGCUUAUGGAAUAAUGCAUGUUCUUCAGAAUUUCCAUAAUACUGGAGUACUAUUUGACAAAUGUAUGGUGCCCAGAGCUUUGGAAUGCAUGCAUGACAAUCUUUUGACCGCAGAUAUAUGCUUAAAUGUGGGUACCGUAUAUUUUCAACCGCGUCUUAAAAUAUUUAUGGCUACUCGAAAUGAUUCUACUAACCCAAUGUGCUAAAGCAAAUGAAAGUAGGCAAAUAAUGCAAAUAUAUAAUUCUUUAAUUUUUCCAAAUGAAAAAUAUGCUGCUGAAUUUGGCAACAGAAGUCAUGAUAUACCAUUAUAUAUUAAGUAUUUUCCUUAAUAAUGUCUAAAAAUCAAUGGCCAAGGGAGAGUUGACAUCCAAAUUGAACAAAGGCAGACUAUGUACAUACUCCCUCCGUUUUUACAUAUAAGUCUUUAUAAAGGUUUCAUUAAAAAAACAUAUGAAUAUAUAUAGACAUACUUUAAAAUAUAGAUUCACUAAUUUUUCUUUGUAUAUACUCCCUCCAU